CAGAGACUGCAAGCGUUAUUCGGAUUCACUGGGCGUAAAGGGUGUGCAGGCGGCCAAGUGUGUCAGGUGUGAAAUCCCGAGGCUUAACCUCGGAACUGCGCCUGAAACUACUUGGCUAGAGUACUGGAGAGGGUAACGGAAUUCACGGUGUAGCAGUGAAAUGCGUAGAUAUCGUGAGGAACACCAGAGGCGAAGGCGGUUACCUGGACAGUUACUGACGCUCAGGCACGAAAGCGUGGGGAGACAAAAGGGAUUAGAUACCCCUGUAGUCCACGCCCUAAACGGUGCACACUAGGUCUUGGCGGAUUCGAUCCCACCAGGGCCCAAGCUAACGCGUUAAGUGUGCCGCCUGAGGACUACGGUCGCAAGACUA
rnacentral:rRNA from 1 species